CGGCCAUCAAGUAGGGGGGUUCUGGGUCGUUUAGACAAAGGGACAACAAGAAGUCUCCACUCCUGUUCUUCAAGAAGCCAACGCUUGCCAGCACAAGUCAACAGAUUUUUUGGCGUAGUCAGUGGGAUCUGAGCUCUGCAAGGUUUUCCAGCUCUUCAGAUGUCUGAUGCUGUAAACAUCUGCUGCAGUCGGACGGAAAACAAGAAUCCGGUGACGGUCUGCUGGUGGCUGAUCCUGUGUUGUAAAGACGCUGAACCUUCACCUCUUACACUAACGCUACCAGAAGCGGAAAGACCUCCAAGAACCACACAACCUGAACCAGCCAAAAAUACUUCCGGUUCUACUAACAGAUGACCAUCUGAGUGUUCUACAGAGACAAUAUCAUCAGUCAUCAAGACAUCAAAGCCAGAAACUCGCAGAUGACCAAGAUGAUCAAAAUAAAUCCGAACUUUGUUUUCAGGACUGUCGU